ensembl:snRNA U6 U6 spliceosomal RNA
GCGCUUGCUUUGGCAGCACAUCCACUAACAUUGGAAUAUACAGAGAUGAUUAGCUGGUCCCUGCACAAAGAUGACGUGUAACUAGGCAAAUUUUGCACACUAAAAUCUU